GCUGUGUAGUAAAGGCACAAUUUAAAUCUGAAUGUUUAGCACUUGGGAGCACAGUCCUGCUUGGAUUUAGGAAGGGGUGUUGCAUGGUCAGCUUUGUGAACAUGGCAAAAGCUCAGCUGAACUAAACUGGGAAGGCAUAGAUUGUAGCUGGGCUUUAAUUUAGGUAAGAUGUCCAUGAUUUGUGGAAACCAGCCCCAAGUUAAGUUCAAACUUUCCACUAGUACACACAAAGGGUUGGAAUGUAAUUUUGUACAGGAAGUCUCCCUGGAACACAGGAAGUCUUGCUCGCUCCUUUCUUCUGGUGGUUGUCUGCAGUCCCUGAGUCCUGGCCAGUGCCUCCCCUUGCUCAGUGCUCUUUCUCCUUGCAGAUGCUUUGUAGACGGACUGGGCAGAAACCUGGAGUUACCAGCCUGAGUCCAGACCUCUGAGAUCCGUCUGGUUGUCCAGGCCUUCAGGUUUACACAACUGAAUACAGAUGUCUAUAUCCAUUGCCGCUUGCUGGCCUGGGACCCUGCCCAGCUCAAUGACCCCACCAAGAAAGCCUGUUCCUUCAACCAGAGAACCAGGAGCUGGGAGCUCCUGGAUGACCCUGGUCGGAGCUCUGUGUGCAGCUGCUGUACCUCCAACUGCAAUCUGAGGAAGAGGAGGGACACGGCUGAAGAGGGACUGAGACACACUGCAGUGCUGGGACCCCUGAGGAUCCUUCCUGAAGAGCUGUCUGCUGGAAGCCAGGAAUUCUACCAGAGGAGCCCUGCUCUGUCACUGGAGGAGCCCCAGCAGGCUCUGGCCUGGCUGCCUGUCCUGGCUGCUCCCCUGCUCCUGAUGGCUGUCCUGGGAGCCCUGUCUCUGGGCUACUACAUGUGCAUGUGGCAUCAUCCCAGACUCUUCUCCAAGUCCAGCAGGGAGCUCCUCGUUCCUGUCCCCGUUGAUGAAAUGCACACAGCAGUUGCCACGGUUUCCAGCAGCUCGCCAGCAAGGCAUUUCUGAUUUCUUGUAUGUUGCGAAAUAAAAUGGAUACAUAAAGAC